rnacentral:rRNA from 1 species
AGCGUGCGCAGGCGGUUAUGUAAGACAGAUGUGAAAUCCCCGGGCUCAACCUGGGAACUGCAUUUGUGACUGCAUGGCUAGAGUACGGUAGAGGGGGAUGGGAAUUCCGCGUGUAGCAGUGAAAUGCGUAGAUAUGCGGAGGAACACCGAUGGCGAAGGCAAUCCCCUCGGACCUGUACUGACGCUCAUGCACGAAAGCGUGGGGAGCAAACAGGAUUAGAUACCCUAGU